CACCCUCUACUGUGUGUUUAGGUGUCCAGCCCCCCACCUGCCAUGGGGGCUCUGUGUCCCCGCCCCGUCCUUUCCCACCUGUCUCAGGAAGGCAGCUCCAACUCUGCUCUUUGCUUAGUGAGCAAGUGGAUUCAGAUGCACCAGGCCGUGAGCCGUGGAUGCGCUGGCUCCCUCCCUCCGAGGCUACUUCUCAGGGCUGGAAGUCCCGUCAGUUCUGCUGAAUACUAUGUCCCAGGUGUGUGAUGGCGGCUGCAAUCUGUCUUGUGGGUAUUAAUGCAAUCUUCAGUGGUGGCUCCUGUUCUCUAGCUGUUCUACAAAACUGGAGCAUGCUGGCUUGAAAAAACCUUGCCCAGUUUUGAUCCCUUCAAGACUUUGUCACAGCCUCUAUCACACAUCUGUUUUUCUCGAAGAAAAAAAUAAUAAAAAUGUUUUACUCUUUUACACUGU
rnacentral:sRNA from 1 species